rnacentral:rRNA from 1 species
GAUGAACGCUAGCUACAGGCUUAACACAUGCAAGUCGAGGGGCAGCAUAACUUAGCAAUAAGUUGAUGGCGACCGGCGCACGGGUGAGUAACACGUAUCCAACCUGCCUUUAACUCUGGGAUAGCCUUUCGAAAGAAAGAUUAAUACCGGAUAGUAUAGAUUAAUCGCAUGAUUUAUUUAUUAAAGAAUUUUGGUUAAAGAUGGGGAUGCGUUCCAUUAGUUUGUUGGUGGGGUAACGGCCCACCAAGACAUCGAUGGAUAGGGGUUCUGAGAGGAAGGUCCCCCACACUGGUACUGAGACACGGACCAGACUCCUACGGGAGGCAGCAGUGAGGAAUAUUGGUCAAUGGGCGCAAGCCUGAACCAGCCAAGUAGCGUGAAGGAUGACUGCCCUAUGGGUUGUAAACUUCUUUUAUAGGGGAAUAAGAGCACUUACGUGUUAAGUGUGUGCAUGUACCCUACGAAUAAGCAUCGGCUAACUCCGUGCCAGCAGCCGCAGUAAAAC